GUAGUCAUAUGCUUGUCUCAAAGACUAAGCCAUGCAUGUCUAAGUAUAAACACCUUUAUACUGCGAAACUGCGAACGGCUCAUUAUAUCAGUUAUAAUCUACUUGAUCGUAUCCUCUUACUUGGAUAACCGUAGUAAUUCUAGAGCUAAUACAUGCAAAAGUUCCCGACUGGUGACGGAAGGGAAGUAUUUAUUAGGUCCAAAAUCAAUGCUGGCCAUUCCAAACUGGGGCAACCUGGAGUCAGGAAAGUUGAUGAUUCAUAAUAACUAAACGAAGCGCAGCGGGCUUGUCUCGGCGCUGAUACAAACGAGUUUCUGCCCUAUCAACUUUCGAUGGUAGUAUAGGGGACUACCAUGGUCGCAACGGGUAACGGGGAAU
rnacentral:rRNA from 1 species